UACAGAGGGCUCAAGCGUUGUUCGGAUUCAUUGGGCGUAAAGGGUGCGUAGGCGGCGAGGCAAGUCGGAUGUGAAAUCCCGGGGCUCAACUCCGGAACUGCAUUCGAUACUGCUUUGCUAGAGUACUGGAGAGGAGACUGGAAUUUACGGUGUAGCAGUGAGAUGCGUAGAUAUCGGAAGGAAGACCAGUGGCGAAGGCGAGUCUCUGGACAGUUACUGACGCUGAGGCACGAAGGCCAGGGGAGCAAACGGG
rnacentral:rRNA from 1 species